rnacentral:rRNA from 1 species
UACCAGCACCCCGAGUGGUCGGGACGAUUAUUGGGCCUAAAGCAUCCGUAGCCGGUUCUACAAGUCUUCCGUUAAAUCCACCUGCUCAACAGAUGGGCUGCGGAGGAUACUAUAGAGCUAGGAGGCGGGAGAGGCAAGCGGUACUUAGUGGGUAGGGGUAAAAUCCGUUGACCCAUUGAAGACCACCAGUGGCGAAGGCGGCUUGCCAGAACGCACUUGACGGUGAGGGAUGAAAGCUGGGGGAGCAAACCGG